GCCGGGGUGGCCGAGCGGUCCAAGGCGGUGGACACCCGAUCCACUACCCCAAAAGGGUGCCCGGGUUCAAAUCCCGGCCCCGGCGCCA
rnacentral:tRNA from 2 species